CCCCUAGAUGUUCUGGGCCGCACGCGCGCUACACUGAACAGUUCAACAAGUCUUAACCUUGGCCGAUAGGUCUGGGUAAUCUUUGAACGCUGUUCGUGAUUGGGAUAGACCUUUGCAAUUAUGGGUCUUCAACGAGGAAUUCCUAGUAAACGCAAGUCAUCAGCUUGCAUUGAUUACGUCCCUGCCCUUUGUACACACCGCCCGUCGCACCUACCGAUUGAAUGGUCCGGUGAAAUCUCGGGGCGGCGGCUUGGUCGCUUGCGUCCGACUGCUGAAACUUGAUUAAACCAUAUCAUUUAGAGGAAGGUGAGGUCGUAACA
rnacentral:rRNA from 1 species